UUCAGGAGAAAAUCUUGGUAGAUUCUUCGAUCCUACACCAACAUCUGAUCCCUUAGAAAUUGCUUGAAUUAAUUUUCCACGAAAUUUCCGCCGCACAAUAUUCUGAGGUCCUAAUCGUCCACGGAGGUUUGAUUCUCUCUGACAGUCUCAUGAUUUCCAGAAUCCGGCAAACUUUCAAUCAUGAAUGGUACUGCAUCAGAGUCUACCCUCGUCUUUCGUUCAACCUCUCUUCCGGUGAGCCAUCCUUCCUGAACUCCUCUUCAUGAGCCUCAUUGUUCCCCGAAAUUGGGAAUUGAUCAUGAGUAUGGCCAUACUUUCCACAUGAAAAACAAACAAGAUGCAAUCCCUCAUACAUUAUAUUCCACUCAUCACCAAAAGCAUCGAACGAAGGCAUUAGAGGCUUAAGUAGAUCGACUUCUACACAUAUCCUUGCAAAUCCCCCUUUAUCAUAAAUCGACGUCGACCAAUCCACCUUUAUAGUCUUCCCCACCAUCUUUCCAAUUCUUCUAAGAUUGAACAUGAUGAAACUCUAUAGGUAAGUCAGGUAUCUGAAUCCAUACAGCAAUCUUUCAUUAUAAAUUCGCUUUCCAAGGGUUGAAGUUUGGACGCCACCUUUGCACAAUCAAGUAAUGGUCACCAAUCAUCCAUGGACCCUCUUGAAACGCAUAAUCUGGAUCCUCCUUAUUUGCAAAGGAGACGAUGAAAUAUUCGUUACUUAAAGGAAUGAUCUUCAUUUUGCCUCGUGGCUUCCACAUCCUGAAAAGUCUACUUGAAUAACUCGUUUAGGAGGACUAGCACCCAAAACCUUUACUAUCACAAAGUUCAUCCAUGGCCGGCACCAUGCUGUAUACUCUUCUGCAGUAAAGCUUAAUUUAGGACUACAAUUAUGUUCACCCUCACCUUCUCCCUCAAAAGCAUCUUCAUCAGAUUGAUUCUUAUCCCACUCCUUUGCCUCCUUUAAAUUCAUUUUAUUGAAAUAAUUCUUCCAUCCAAUAGUAAUAUCAUCCUCUUCCUCAUGUCUGACGAGAAACCUAGCAACCCCGCCGGCCAGUAACUUAUCUUUAUAUGAGGGUGGUAUCAUCCUUUUCCUCCCCACGAGCAUAUUUGCCUUCCCAUCAGUCCCAACAUUUGUUGUGGCAGUCACAGAACUGUCAAACACAGCCAUCACUACCACUCAACAUCUCCAACAUUGUUUUGUCUCGCUCACGGCCUCCAUCUCGAUCAAUCUUGCAACCUUCAACCUCGUCACUGCACUGCACUCUACCCCCUCCAGAGCUCUCGCCCACCUCCAUCAUAGUCCAAUGACUAAAACAAUUUCUUCAAAUUUUCCAAAUCAACCACUAGCUAUUACUAAAAAUGUUGUUUUUCGUGAAAUUUUUGACAACUUUACAGGUUAAUUAUAAUAUUCUUUUCAUGUUCAUUUUCAAUUUGCCUUCAAAGAGAGUAUUUCGUGGAUUAUGAGUUUGCCUAUUUUACGAGUAUAUCAUUAUGUCUUUUUAGGUGAAUGAAGCACAUAGUUAACCAUAUGGUCUAUUAUAAGCAUGCUCCAUGACUAUAACUACAAUUAUUAAGAAUCUUGAGACCUCUUUUUGUUGGCAUUGCAAACGAUGCCCAACUAGUACCCGGAAACUAAAACUCAAUGAAGGCAACUACACUAUCCUAAAAGUUCAGGGGAAAGAUGGAAAGUGAAAGAAACUGCUCUCGUCUUGAAGUUUUAUUACCAAGUCAAGGAUGAGAUACGCACAAUCUCUCGUGUUCUUAGACCAAGUUGCAGCACAGUUAUUAAAGCACUCUGUUCAUGAAUUGAUGCAGCGUCCAGAUAGGGUUUGCAUUAUAUUUAAUGCUAUCCAAUGUUUUGGUUGUAAUUGUAAAACUCAAAAUCCUUAAAUACUUCCAUUUCAUUUCAAAACUGAAAAUAUUAUUCUAAUUUCUUAGAAA